AUGGGCCCUGGGCUCCUCUGCUGGGUGCUGCUUUGUCUCCUGGGAGCAGGCCCAGUGGACGCUGGAGUCACCCAAAGUCCCACACACCUGAUCAAAACGAGAGGACAGCAAGUGACUCUGAGAUGCUCUCCUAUCUCUGGGCACAAGAGUGUGUCCUGGUACCAACAGGUCCUGGGUCAGGGGCCCCAGUUUAUCUUUCAGUAUUAUGAGAAAGAAGAGAGAGGAAGAGGAAACUUCCCUGAUCGAUUCUCAGCUCGCCAGUUCCCUAACUAUAGCUCUGAGCUGAAUGUGAACGCCUUGUUGCUGGGGGACUCGGCCCUGUAUCUCUGUGCCAGCAGCUUGG